rnacentral:lncRNA from 1 species
AAAAAAAAGAUGGAAGAGGAAAGAGGCAGAGCAAGUUUGAAAGAAAGAUUAUGAGUUUAGGGUUUGUUACUUUGUGAUGGAAGCCAUGAAUGAAGGUACUGUCUGCAAUAACAAACAAAUAAAGGUGAGGAACUCGAGGGGAAGUUGGGGCCGAUGAAAAGAUUCAGAAAGGUGAAAGUUAGUGCCAUGACAUUCCCCAAGCAGAGAAUGUGGUUAGAUCAGGUCCUUCUGGAAUAUUUAAAUGAGGGGAAAAAAAGAAGAAUUGAAGAAGAGAAGGGUUAAAAACCAGCGUUAGACAAAGGGAAUAAGCCUGAAGACCCUAUGUUAUG